AUUGAACGCUGGCGGCAGGCUUAACACAUGCAAGUCGAGCGGGGUGAUGGUGCUUGCACUAUCACUUAGCGGCGGACGGGUGAGUAAUGCUUAGGAAUCUGCCUAUUAGUGGGGGACAACAUCUCGAAAGGGAUGCUGAUACCGCAUACGUCCUACGAGAGAAAGCAGGGGAUCACUUGUGACCUUGCGCUAAUAGAUGAGCCUAAGUCGGAUUAGCUAGUUGGUGGGGUAAAGGCCUACCAAGGCGACGAUCUGCAGCGGGUCUGAGAGGAUGAUCCGCCACACUGGGACUGAGACACGGCCCAGACUCCUACGGGAGGCAGCAGUGGGGAAUAUUGGACAAUGGGGGGAACCCUGAUCCAGCCAUGCCGCGUGUGUGAAGAAGGCCUUAUGGUUGUAAAGCACUUUAAGCGAGGAGGAGGCUCUUUUGGUUAAUACCCAAGAUGAGUGGACGUUACUCGCAGAAUAAGCACCGGCUAACUCUGUGCCAGCAGCCGCCGUAA
rnacentral:rRNA from 1 species